GGUCCGGUGUUGGAAUUGGUAGACAAGACGGAUUUAAAAUCCGUUGCCCAUUAGGGCGUGCGAGUUCAAGUCUCGCCCGGACCACCA
rnacentral:tRNA from 1 species